rnacentral:tRNA from 1 species
CGUGCCGCUGGCGGUCGCGGUGGUCGUCGCGGCCCUGCGUUGGGUGCCGGAGAGCCGGGCCACGUCGACCGGUCGGUUCGACAUCGGCGGCGCGC